rnacentral:rRNA from 1 species
AUUGAACGCUGGCGGCAUGCUUUACACAUGCAAGUCGAACGGUAACAGGCCGCAAGGUUCUGACGAGUGGCGGACGGGUGAGUAAUGCAUCGGAACGUGCCCAGUCGUGGGGGAUAACUACUCGAAAGAGUAGCUAAUACCGCAUACGAUCUAUGGAUGAAAGCGGGGGACCGUAAGGCCUCGCGCGAUUGGAGCGGCCGAUGUCAGCUUAGCUAGUUGGUGGGGUAAAGGCGUACCAAGGCGACGAUGGGUAGCUGGUCUGAGAGGACGACCGGCCACAUGGGGACUGAGAGACGGGCCAGACUCCUACGGGAGGCAGCGGGGGGGAGUAUUGCACGAUGGGCGGAAGACUGAUGAAGCAACGCGGCGUGCGUGAUGACGGACGUCGGGUGGUAAACCGCUUUCGCCUGUGACGAAGCGGGAGUGACGGUAAUGGGUAAAGAAACACGGGCUAACUACGUG